rnacentral:rRNA from 1 species
GUAGGUGGCAAGCGUUGUCCGGAAUUAUUGGGCGUAAAGCGCGCGCAGGCGGUUCUUUAAGUCUGAUGUGAAAGCCCGCGGCUCAACCGUGGAGGGUCAUUGGAAACUGGAGAACUUGAGUACAGAAGAGGAAAGCGGAAUUCCACGUGUAGCGGUGAAAUGCGUAGAGAUGUGGAGGAACACCAGCGGCGAAGGCGGCUUUCUGGUCUGUAACUGACGCUGAGGCGCGAAAGCGUGGGGAGCAAACAGGGAUUAGAUACCCUGGUAGUCCACGCCGUAAACGAUGAGUGCUAAGUGUUAGGGGGUUUCCGCCCCCUUAGUGCUGCAGCUAACGCAUUAAGCACUCCGCCUGGGGAGUACGGCCGCAAGGCUG